rnacentral:misc_RNA from 1 species
CCGAGAUUUUUUCCUGCUUGCAGGAAAUCUCCCACCCUUUGUGUUACCAAAUUUUAUACUUUGGUGAAGCGUUUUUCUUCACAGAGAACCAUCGGCUUUCGAGCGGGUGCGUCUUCGCCAAAGGACCCUUAACUCUUGUCUUUAUCAAUUGUCUGAGUUUAUAUUUUAAAAUAAACA